UCCUACGGGAGGCAGCAGUGAGGAAUAUUGGUCAAUGGGCGGUAGCCUGAACCAGCCAAGUAGCGUGAAGGAUGAAGGUUCUAUGGAUCGUAAACUUCUUUUAUAAAGGAAUAAAGUGAGGCACGUGUGCCUUUUUGUAUGUACUUUAUGAAUAAGGAUCGGCUAACUCCGUGCCAGCAGCCGCGGUAAUACGGAGGAUCCGAGCGUUAUCCGGAUUUAUUGGGUUUAAAGGGAGCGUAGAUGGGUUGUUAAGUCAGUUGUGAAAGUUUGCGGCUCAGCCGUAAAAUUGCAAUUGAUACUGGCGU
rnacentral:rRNA from 1 species